GGAUGGGUACAGCUCAGUGGUAGAGCGCAUGCUUAGCAUGCACGAGGUCCUGGGUUCAAUCCCCAGUACCUCCA
rnacentral:tRNA from 1 species